CCUUCUCAUUGAUCAAUUCUAGCAAUUGAGCCAGUCCUGUCUUCUACGUUUUAUGACCAACAGAGAUCUCCACUUGGAAUUCUGAUACUCACUUGUGAUCAUGAUUUCCGAACUUUUUUCGUCUCUUGCUGCCCCUGUUUUUGCUGCUGUGCUGUUCCUUUUUUUCUUGAAGAGCAGAUCAAGGGAGAUCAAUGGAGGGGAGGCAAGUAGCAAUGCAGCUCGAAACGAUGGAACAGCAGGAGGCGCUUCUUCUACUCACUCUUCAACAGGAGUACCUGAAACGGCUACAUCAGCAGGACCAGCUAAGGAUGCAGCUGCAACCGAUGGAACAGCAGGAGGCGAUUCUGGUGCUCACAGUUCAACAGGUGUACCUGAAAAUGAAAUGGCUACUACAUCCGGAACAGCAGGAGGUGCUUCUGGUACUCACACCUCAACAGAAGGGGACGGAACAGCUACAUGUGAGUAUGAAGUAUUCUUGAGCUUUAGAGGACCGGAUACUCGAGCAGGUAUUACCAACUACCUUUACACUGGGCUUACCGAUUUGGGAAUCUGCACAUUUAAGGAUGACGAAGAUCUCCGCGAAGGGGAAGAGUUUGCCCCGAAACUUCUCCGAGCAAUUAUGCAGUCGAAGAUCUUAGUGCCUAUCUUUUCAAAAAAUUAUGCAUCCAGUGUAUGGUGUCUCAAGGAGGCAGCCCAAAUGGUCGAGUGCACGAAAAUUGAGGGACGAAAGAUCGUGCCUAUUUUCUAUGAUGUGGCGCCUGUAGAGGUUCGGUACCAAACUGGGGGUUAUAAAGAGGCCUUUCUUCUACAUGAGAAAAAGAAGCGACGUGACGAAAAGACCAUAGGAGAGUGGAAGGCUGCUCUCAGCGCAGUUGGGGAAAUAAAGGGAUGGGACCUGCAUAAGGAGGGGGAGAACAGGCGAGAAGGUGAGUUCGUGAAAAAAUUCUUGCGAAGGGUUUUCAAUGAGUUGAAAAAGGCUUCUCUAGUAGUAUCAGACAACUUUGUCGGUGUCGACAAGCAUGUGGAUGCAAUCAUGGAAAAGAUUGGUACUAAGACAAGUGAAACACGGAUUAUAGGAAUUCACGGGAUGGGUGGCAUCGGAAAGACGACUAUUGCCAAAGUGAUCUACAAUAAGUUUUCCCACGACUUUGAGAAUUGUUGCUUUCUUGGCGAUGUUCGAGAAAGGUCAAAAGGUAAUGGCAUUCAAUGCUUGCAGAAGCAGCUCAUUUCUAACAUCCUCAAAAGGGAAUGCACGGAUAUCAAUGACAUUCAUGAAGGAAUUCAAACAAUUAAAGUCAUGUUGUCUAAUAAAAGGGUUCUCCUUCUUCUCGAUGAUGUAGAAGAAGCGAAUCAUAUUGAUGCACUUGUAUGUAAGCGUGAUUGGUUAGGCAAAGGGAGCAAAAUUAUUAUAACUAGCAGAAGGAUAGAUGUUCUUAAAGUUCCUGAAGUGGAUGACCGCUAUGAGCUUACGGGCAUGAAUCGUGAUCAAUCUCUUCAACUUUUAAGCAAACAUGCCUUCAGAAGAGAUUCUCCUUCAGACGAGUAUAUUAACCAAUCCAACAGGGCAAUAGACAUUGCUGGAGGUCUUCCGCUCGCUCUUGAGGUCAUAGGUUCACUUUUAUAUUGCACUAAAAAGGAAAUGUGGGAGGCCACAUUGAAGAUGCUAGAAAGUGUUCCUCAUGACAAAAUUCAGAGCAAACCAAAAAUAAGCUAUGAUGCAUUAAAUUUGCGGCAACAGCAUAUGUUCCUCGAUAUAGCUUGUUUUUUCAUUGGUUAUGACAAAGACAUUCUAGUUCUUUUCCGGGAUGAACCUAAUUUUUAUCCGGAAGUGGCCAUGGAAGAUUUGCAUAACAAGUCUUUAAUAAAGAUUAAUGAGGAUAAUGAAGUGUGGAUGCACGAUCUACUCAGAGACCUCGGAAGGGAAAUGGUUCGUGAAAAAAGUUGCAUGAACAUAGAGAAGCAAAGUAGGGUGUGGGAUCAUAAGCAAGGAUUCGAUUUGCUAAGGAAACAUAAGGGAAAUAAAGAAGUUGAAGCUCUUCGUCUCAAGUUGGACAACCAGCGACAGUACCGUUUUACCUACGAGGGCUUUGAGAGCCUUUCAGAUCUAAGGUUUCUUGAAGUCGAUGGUUAUAUGGGAGAUUUUCUUGCAGAAGAUAGGCUUCUCUGGCACAAAUCGUCAUCGAAUGUUCUUCCAGCAAAUGUUUUCGAGGAGAAUUCAAAUCUUCUUCCCCACUUACGAUGGCUUUCUUGGCAUCACAUUCUCCCAACUUUUAAGAUUACACAUUUCUCAUUGGAGGACAUGGUUUUUCUUGAUCUAUCUUUCAGUAAAAUUACUCAUAAUUGGAAGGGAUGGAGCCACAUGAAGGCAAUGAAGAAUUUGAAAGUUCUAAAUCUGAGCUAUUGUCAACACUUGGAGAGAACUCCCAAUUUAUCUGCUCACGCAAAUUUAGAACGUUUGAUACUAAACUAUUGUAGAAGAUUAGGCGAAAUUGAUGGGUCGAUUUGUCGGUUGAAACGCUUAGUUUUUUUUAGUGUACAUGGUUGUGAAGAACUUCAGAGGCUGCCAGAUGAGGUUGGGAAUUUGGAAUCGCUAAUUGAGUUGGACAUAGCCGAGACGAAGAUCAAAGAACCACCUGACUCUAUCGGAAACUUGAAAAAUUUGAAAAUAUUGGAGAUGAGGGACACUAGUAUAAGGACAAUACCCGAUGUCCUUUGGAAGAUUGAGAAGCUCGAAGAAAUAGGAGUGAAAAUUUUUUAUCGAGACCCUGUGGACAUCGACAAUUGCAUCUACAGAAAUCGAUCUCUAAAGAUUUUGAAAUUGGAAGAUUUUGAAAUAUACGCAGUACCGAAGCUUCCUGAAAGUCUUGUCACUCUAUAUCUGCAUUGGUUGCAUAUAUUUCCAGAUCUGUCAAACCUCACUAAUUUAAGGGAAUUGGAUCUGGAGUUUUGCUCGCGUGAUUCUGAUGAGGAAUCUGAUGGGCUUUUGGGAAAUCCGAUGCCACGGUGGAUCGCAAACUUGCGGAAACAAGAGUCUCUGCGCCUGACCACCUCACCAGCAGACCUUACCCUCCCUCCUCAUCUCAAGUCGCUUCGCCUCAAAUCCUGCCAUAAUCUGCGUCGCCUCCCGAGGCUACCCUCAAGUUUAUCCUCCUUGCGUUUGGAACAUUGCAACUCACUUUGCUCGAUGGAGGAUCUGUCGAAUUUGAAGAAUCUUUCAUCUCUCUACAUUUCGUUCGCUGCAAUUGAAGAGAUUCAAGGCCUUGGUUGUUUGGAGAACCUACGAGAUUUGGAGCUUCGGAGCCUUGGACAGGUAAAGAUACUACCUGAUCUAAGCAAUUUAAACAAACUAAGGAGUCUUCUAGUAUAUAACUGUGGUAAUCUGGUUGAGAUUCAAGGCCAACUCCCACGGUUUUUGGAUAAAUUGCAUAUUUCUUGCUGUGAUUCUUUACAGAAUUUGCCCGAUCUGUCAUGCUUGAUGGGUAAGCAACAUGUUGAAAUACAGCGUUGCAGUCAAUUAAACGCCAAGGCAUUUCUUGGAUUUACUCGAUUGAAUCAACGAGAUUUGCGGCUUUCUGGUUUUGGACAGCUGCAGAUCCUACCUGAUCUAAGUAAUUCAAGCGAACUAAGAAGUCUUCAAGUACGCCACUGUCCUAAUCUGGUUGAGAUUCAAGGUGAACUACCAGAGUCUUUGCAAGAAUUGGAGAUUGAUUCCUGUGGAUCUUUACGGAAGUUGCCCGAUCUGUCCAGCUUGAUGGGACAGGGAAAGGUUCGUAUAACUGGUUGCCGGAAAUUAAAUUUGGGAGAAGACGAUGAACAUGAAUAUGAAUCUGAGGGAGUAGUCGUCAAAGAUGAAUCUGAAUCUGAGGGAGAAGACCUCAAGUGGGACGGAGAAGACUGCAAAUCUGAAUCUCAAUCUGAGGGAGAAGACCAUGAAUCUGAAUAUGAUAUCUGAGGGAGAAGAUGAGGAAUAAGUGCACGUACUCUUGAAAGCUUCUUGAUCCACGACCACAAAUUGAUUCCUUGUGUCCAAACUUUAAACAAAUUGAGGAAAGCUGUGCUUCUUAGAGGGAUUUGCAAAUGUUAUGGAGAAGUCAUAAAAUGAAGAAAGAGGAAUUUCACAAGGGCAGCAGCAUCAAUAGUUGGUGCAGCAAACCUUCCAUGUCCAAGGUAUCAUAUAUCAUCUUAUAGUUAAGGCUAUAAUUCAGUAAUAUCGGUGCCUAGGACAUAUGCUAAGUCUCAGUCGGGAUUAGAAAUCAUGUAAGUGAAACUCUUGUGUGAUCUCCAUUAUUGCAGUUUUCUAAAAAUGGUUAUGUCUAGGUGAUUAUCUGUCAUAGAAGCCCUUCCAUUCA